GGGUUCAGGUCACCUCCGGCUGCCAUCUCCAUGAAGGAGAAGGAGCCGUUCGUCAUCCCGACUGCUGAGAAUUUCGAGGGAGACGACCUUCCUGAAGUCACAGCCAGAGAGCUGGACUUGUUGUUGGAUCAACCAGACCAGUUCUGUAGAGACACGGAGAGGCAGACAGGCGACCAGACUGUUGCACGUGAGGGAGGCAUGUCCCCUUUUGAUCAG